rnacentral:ncRNA from 1 species
GCGCCGGCCACUCCACAACCAUGGCCGGCUGACCGUGAAAAAAAGGAGGAAAAGGACAGGGCCCGGGGCUCGGGCUGCGGCAGUGUGGAGACCUGUCGCAAGGCGGCGCAGUCGAAUGAGGCUGGCCGUGAGCACACAGCAAGCGGAGGCUCUGUGUGCGGAGCCGGAAAACAUGGCA